GCGGUCAUGGCGGAAUUGGCAGACGCGUACGUUUGAGGGGCGUAUGGUUUUACCGUCCGGGUUCAAGUCCCGGUGACCGCACCA
rnacentral:tRNA from 1 species